rnacentral:rRNA from 1 species
UACGUAGGCAGCGAGCGUUGUUCGGAGUUACUGGGCGUAAAGAGUGCGUAGGCGGUUUUCUAAGUUUGGUGUGAAAUCUCCCGGCUUAACUGGGAGGGCGCGCCGAAAACUGGAAGGCUUGAGUAUGGGAGAGGUAAGCGGAAUUCCUGGUGUAGCGGUGAAAUGCGUAGAUAUCAGGAGGAACACCUGCGGUGUAGACGGCUUACUGGACCAUAACUGACGCUGGGGCACGAAAGCGUGGGUAGCAAACAGG